rnacentral:lncRNA from 1 species
GUAUCUCCUUCAGAUUUAAAUAAUAUGUAAACUCUAAGGUAAAAGAAUAAGAUUUAAUUUGCGUUCUUAAUAUUUUUCAUAUAACUCACCAAUAACGAUGCCUGACCUGUCAUAUAUAUGAAUGAAGUUCUGGAUGGGAUGUUUAUAUAUAUUAGAGAUCUAGAAUAAUAAACAAAGACAACAGAAUGGACACAAAAAAGGGAAUAAAAAACAAUAGGAUAACAAUAGAGAAUAAUAUAUGUAAACAACAACUUAAAGACAAAAAUGUAAACCUCGUUCUAAUUAGAAAAACAAUGGUGCCUGUCAUACACAUGCAUGAAGGUCUGGAUGGGUUGUUGAUAUAACAGAAAAUAAUGGAAAUAGAAGACAGAAUGGACAAAAAUGAAUAGAUAAUAAUAUUGGGGGGAAAAGAAGAGAAUAAUGGGAUAAAAUAUAAUGAACAUAUAGAUAGGAGGGUCUGGAUGGGGGGGUGUCUGUAAUUCUGUAAACAUUUAAUUUUCACCCCUUUUUUCUCUAAUCUUUAAAAAAAAUAACCCCUUUUUUCUCUAAUCUUCAAAAAAUUAACCCCUUUUUUCUCUAAUCUUCAUUUUUUUGGCCCGUUAUUCUCUAAUCUUCAUUUUUUAAGGGCAUUGUUCGUUAAUCAUUUAACCCCAUCCAAACCCUCAGAUAGAGCAGGAGCAUUUUUUUUUCUAUUUGAAUUUAAAGCACAAUGAAAUAACUGCCUCUAAAGCUAGAUUGAUCAACAAAUACACACUUGGAUAUCCACAAAUAGUCUAAUAAGAAGACAAUCGAAAAUAAAUCAAGACCAC